ACAGCUUAGGAACACAUGUUCUGUGCAGUGGUCUAUAGGCAGCCACAGAAGGGGAUGUAAUUGUGAUCCUUUUGUCUUACGCCAUUACUGGAAACGCCCACACACGAACUGGAGUUCCCUCGGAACAACAUUGUCAAAUCUUCAACAGACGACCUCCGAACCAGGUGCCACGAGCCCUGCACAGCUGUUUACACACUGAGACAUGUAUUCUGGAAGCUGCGAGCAACCUCGGGCCUGGACUGACAAGAGACCUUGUGACCAAUCAAGCUGGUGGAGGAAAAGCACAAAAUUCCAUACCAACCUCUAGUUAAGAUCCCAAAGAGAUGCUGACAUUUCUAGCAAAAAUAACAAUGAUAAUACUAAAUAAUAAAUAAAUAGGAACAGUGACAAAUAAAAAAAAAUGAAUCUGAUUGGAACAGCCGACAUCCAGCUUCCCAGAGGGAGGACGGGGCUAAGUGACAUUCUCCAGCUGUGUCACUUCUCGGAUCCCAACCAGAGCUGACCCACCUUCAUCAUAUAUGGUGUUUAAUGGCGCAACAGAGUGAUCGAUUUAGUCCCAGUCUCUUCAUUCUUUGCUGGCCACAAGAGAACAACAAACGCGAGUGAUAGGAUGUUGAUGGAGGAACCAUUUUCAUAGCAAACUCAGAAAUGGAGGUGUUUAUAUUCCAAACCAGAUGGGCUUCAGUAUGAAUUUGCAUCUUGCCUCUGUACUGCUUGCUAUUUUUUAAUGAUAGGAGAAAGCAUAACAGUUUAUUUUAAAUAUGAAAUAUAUUGCUAUAUUAUAAAAUAUAUUGUAACUUUCGAUUAACAUUUUGUAUUGAGCUAGUCUUUAGCAGGCUGGGUGACAGCCUGCUUUCUUUCCUAAUGACUGUUUCUGGGUACACAUCACUGUUAGCGGUUGCCUGACCCCCAAAUCCAGGGUCCUGGUUCCACAGCAGGCCAGACGGCCAUAUUCUCAUUCUCCAAGACUGAGCAGUAGAGACAAAAAUAGCCAUGAGGUAAGCAUAGAAGAAUAAUUCCACCCUAAAUUCUACCAAGCCAUUUCAGAAGCGAUUUGUAAAGCCAUCACUCCUUAAGUAGCCGUCAACAGUUUAGUAAAAGCGUAGACUCUUUCUAUCUAAAUGCAAAGGGGCCCAGUCUGUAAGUUUUUUGCCUCAGGCACAGCCAACCAGCUUUCCUCUGGCAACAUCAGAAUCGGGCAUUAAAAAAAGACUCUUGUUUACACUGCCUCAAAAUACUAAAAAUUCUAAGCAUUGAGUUUCUCUAUAUACGAGGACAACCAAGAUUAGAAUUCUCUCCAGGCAGGGCCCAGUGAGAACUGAGGUGCAGGUGUGCCUCUCUCAGUUGACAAUCUCUUGGAGGAGGGUGUGGUUCAGGAAGGGGAAGAUCAAGGUGUCUGCAGUUUGUCCUUGAUGCUGGAGGAGGAGGCAGGAUGUGCACAGCAAGACCCAGUACAGAGCCAGCUUCCGCAUUUGCUAUUCACUGUAGCUAGGGGGAAAUGGUUCUGAAUAUCAUAUUUCCUCUUAUGGCAAAAGUAAGCAGCCCACGAAACCCACUCGCUCCUUCUCGAUACAGUACCUGAGAUAUACGUGUAGAAUUACAGAGUCCCUUCCUUUGAAUUACCAGGGUCCUAUUCUAUAUUAAAAUGGAUGAAGGAUAUCCUCCCUAAAUCUGCACAUCUCCCGAUGAGGACCUUGCUUGCUGGCAUCACUUCUGCACAACACAGGACAGGUGCAGACCAAGGAGCAUCGGGGGAGAGUUACCUGCCUGCCUCUUCCCUUCGCAAACUCUGAAAAUGCACACAGAUCCACAGAUCAUGCAAGGCUGUAGGUGCUGCCCUGGGAAAGAGACUAGAAGCCUCUAAGGUUCCCUGAACUUCAGCCGUAGCACCUGUUAGUCAUGCCUAAAUGACAGACAAGUUUCUAAACAUCCAGUUUCAAUCAGCUGGAGUAGACAGGGCUGUCUGUGUAAGCAAGUCACGUUUGUUUCUCUCGGCAUCUGCAUUACUCGUCAGUUAUGUGCUAGACUGAGCACCAUUAAAGCCAUCAGAACUCCAGGGCACCUGUUUUUAACACAUUGCUUACUCGCUGGGUAAUGGAAAUGAGUUAACUCUCAAUUUGGUAAUUGACUGAGAGAUAUUGAUUUGUUUCUUUAUACAUCUCCUGCUCAAAAUGGAGCUAUUUUGGCUUUUACUUCUAGUGAUCUAUAGACUGACUAAGAUGUUUACAUGUAUAGAGAACACAUAUAUUCUGACCUUUCCCAUCAAAGAUGUAACUCAUCUAUAAUCAAGGAAACUAACCCAAAUUCUAGUUUUGGUGGAAACAAGCUCUGGACAAUAAUUCAUGUGCGUAGACAUAUGCUAAUCCUUGGUACUCCAGGUGAGAGCCAAAGACCAGCGGCAUUCACAUCCCCCACUAGCUUGUCAGAAAUAGGUUCUGUGCCAGGCCCGCUCAAUCACAAUUAGCAUUUUAACCAGUGCUCCUGGUGAUCUAUAUGCAACCAACACUGAGAAGUGCUGGCCUCCCUCACCGUACUGCAAUGGUAACCAAUAAUUCAGCUAUUUCUUUCUCAAAUCUCAUUUACCAAAUUGUUUGAUGAUGGACAGCUCUUAUAUGAUUGUAAGGAUAAAGAUGGGUUUAUGUGAUUGUGAGGAUAAAGAUGGGUGUUAUCUUAAAAUUCCAUUUGAUAGUGCACAGUUUAAAUGACAUACAUGAACUGUAAUGUCAAUUGGAGGUGGCCUUUCUCUAGUCUGAUGUGAAAAACCACUCAAGUGACAGCUUUGAGCCACCUCAACGCCCCCUUUUAGACUAUGAUCAUGGGCCUUCAGAGUAUAAGGUGGAGCCAUGAGUGAGCCCUGGAUAGAAGGCUCCCAAGUCUCUCCUCAGCAUACUGCAGAAAUGGGACAUUUCUGGUUCCCUGUCCCUCCAUGAGGAAGCCAGAAUCCCUCAGUGAGGACUCUCCUUAGACAUUCAGACACAUUCCCAAUCUCCUGAGGCUUCUCCUAUUUGUCACAGCAAGCAGGGCAAGGAGAGAUGUGAAUUCUGAUAUUGGCACCCUAAAUUGAUAUGUGCCCAGAAACAGUUAUGUUCUAAAUUAAUGGCUUUAACCUGUUCAUUGUAAAAAGUGCCUUGGACUUCAAUCUAAAGAGGUCAGUAUAAAUAUGUAUGUGUGUGUGUGAUGUGUAUGUAGGCAAAUAUUUACAUAUUUAUACAUACACAGGUGCAUACACAUAUACCUGCACAUUCAUAUAUAAUAUAUACAUAUAUAUAUAUAUAUAUAAAUGCUUCAUAAUAUAUCAUAUUGCUAUUCACAGCUUCUUAUUUUGUUUGGUCCUAUGUUUAUUUGUUUAGUGAGAUCUUUACAUAGAAAGGUUCUAUUUAGGACAUGGAUGUAUUUUUUGUUUGUUUUUUACUUUUUAUUAAAAAGGUAAAGGAUAUUAAAAGAUU
rnacentral:lncRNA from 1 species